rnacentral:sRNA from 1 species
UCCCAUCCAAGUACUAACCAGGCCAGACCCUGCUUAGCUUCAAAGAGAAGAUGAGAUCCAGAGCAUUCAGGAUGGUAUGGCUGUAGA